AUCGCCUUUGGGUAAGCCCGCGUUGGAUUAGGUAGUUGGUGGGGUAAAGGCCUACCAAGCCUGCGAUCCAUAGCUGGUCUGAGAGGACGAUCAGCCACACUGGGACUGAGACACGGCCCAGACUCCUACGGGAGGCAGCAGUGGGGAAUCUUGCGCAAUGGACGAAAGUCUGACGCAGCCAUGCCGCGUGAGUGAUGAAGGUCUUAGGAUUGUAAAGCUCUUUCGACGGGGACGAUGAUGACGGUACCCGUAGAAGAAGCCCCGGCUAACUUCGUGCCAGCAGCCGCGGUGAUACGAAGGGGGCUAGCGUUGUUCGGAAUUACUGGGCGUAAAGCGUGCGCAGGCGGUUUUUUAAGCCAGAGGUGAAAUCCCGGAGCUCAACUUCGGAAUGGCCUUUGGAACUGGAAAGCUAGAGAACGGUAGAGGUGAGUGGAAUCC
rnacentral:rRNA from 1 species